rnacentral:rRNA from 1 species
UAAGGAAUCUUCGGCAAUGGGGGGAACCCUGACCGAGCAACGCCGCGUGCGUGAAGAAGGUUUUCGGAUCGUAAAGCUCUGUUGUUAAGGAAGAACGAGUGUGAGAAUGGAAAGUUCAUACUGUGACGGUACUUAACCAGAAAGGGACGGCUAACUACGUGCCAGCAGCCGCGGUAAUACGUAGGUCCCGAGCGUUGUCCGUAUUUAUUGGGCGUAAAGCGAGCGCAGGCGGUUAGCUAAGUCUGAAGUUAAAGGCAGUGGCUCAACCAUUGUAGGCUUUGGAAACUGUUUAACUUGAGUGCAGAAGGGGAGAGUGGAAUUCCAUGUGUAGCGGUGAAAUGCGUAGAUAUAUGGAGGAACACCGGUGGCGAAAGCGGCUCUCUGGUCUGUAACUGACGCUGAGGCUCGAAAGCGUGGGGAGCGAACAGG